UUGUAGCUCAAUGGUAGAGUUUCCGACUGCUGUGCGGAAGGUCACAGCUUUGACUCCUGUUGGUAAAA